rnacentral:rRNA from 1 species
UACCAGCACCCCGAGUGGUCGGGACGUUUAUUGGGCCUAAAGCAUCCGUAGCCGGUUCUACGAGUCUUCCGUUAAUCCAACUGCUUAACAGGUGGGCUGCGGAAGAUACUAUAGAGCUAGGAGGCGGGAGAGGCAAGCGGUACUCGAUGGGUAGGGGUAAAAUCCGUUGAUCCAUUGAAGACCACCAGUGGCGAAGGCGGCUUGCCAGAACGCGCUCGACGGUGAGGGAUGAAAGCUGGGGGAGCAAACCGG